GAAAGGGGAAGGAGAACUGUGAGAGAGAGAGAGGGAGAGAGAGAAGAGGCAAAGCUUCUCCCUAAGGAAUUCAACAUCCAUGGAAGCUUGAAGAUGGUUGAAGAAGAUAGAAGAGAGAGGAAAGAUCAACCAAAAGCUUGGGAAAAAUUGAAGAGACUAAGGGAUGAACAAAGGUUUGGGUAAGGUCGAGACGAAGACAUUGUACCAUUACCACCGGGAACCGAUCACUGUAACCAACCAAGUGGUCAGUCCUAGUCAUGACACCCGUUUUCUUUUGUCAACCUUCGUGGGUUCAGGCACUGCACGAAGCCAUUUAUUUUUGUAAAGUCUAUUGAAAUGUUGGCUUAAUUUUGAUUACCCAUUUAAAGUUGAAGAGGUAGAACUUCAAUGAUUUGU